rnacentral:rRNA from 1 species
GACGUAGGAUGCAAGCGUUGUCCGGAUUUAUUGGGCGUAAAGAGUUCGUAGGUGGUUUGUUAAGUCUGAUGUUAAAGACUGGGGCUCAACCUCGGAAAUGCAUUGGAUACUGGCAGACUUGAGUGUGGUAGAGGCAAUCGGAAUUCCCGGUGUAGUGGUGGAAUGCGUAGAUAUCGGGAGGAACACCAGUGGCGAAGGCGGUUGCCUGGAGCUUUGCUGACGCUGAUGCGCGAAAGCGUGGGGAGCGAUCCGG